CAGGAAGGCGGCUGGCUGCACACUGCCUUCCUUACCCUUCCUUCCCGGGAAGGGUCCUUGGCCGGGCUGGGCUCGGGCAGGAAGGAGGGCAUAAGCCUACGGCCGCGCACCGCGGGGAGAGGGAGCCUGUCCCACUCGGGACGGGAGGGGACGAGGUGGCUCCCCGCUAGUAGCACCCACACUCUCCAAACCAAACUACCCCACAGGACUCCCCGUGCUAUUUAGCUAGGCGAUUUCUUUUAUUCGGUACGACGAAAUAAAUAUUCAUUACGACUGCUGGCUACACCUGAAAUUAUAGCCCUAAUUGCAGAGCUGUUGGCCUGAGUUACCACAUUUGCUGCUUACUCAUCCGUAAGCAAUUGCUCAGCGCCGGGUCCCAGCCGUGGUGGUUCCCUUUGGGGGGCUCGGUGCCCUCCAGUGCUGGGCGGCGCCGAGCCCCGUGGCCGCUCUCCUGGGGCAGAGACAGAUGGCCACGGACGGGGCGUCCCGGACAGCCCCAGCUCUCGCCGUCCGGGAAAAUGUGGGAUGCUAAAGAAAGGAUGUGCAAAUUGUUGAGCAAAUUAGGCCAAUUCGAAAUAAAUAAGCACUGCGGGAAGAGAGCCUGCCACUCCCGGAAAAUAAGUGAAGAGAAACCCGGUACUGUUAUACUGAUGUAAGCCUGGAGUAAUUACGCGGAGGUCAAAGUUGUUGCACACGCUACAAGAAGUUGUGCUCACUCUGUAGUUUGAGAGCGGAUUAUGUUCCCUCUUACGUCGAUGGCACAUAUAUAAAAUUCUGCUUUUUUUUUUUUUCCUAUGCACGUAAGAGGAUAUAAAUAAGGUUUGGUCGUGGUUUUUUUCCGUUGUCAUACUUUAUAUAUAACCUAAUCCUGAAACAAAGUCUCAAAGACCUUCCCAUGAGAUUGACCAGAUGCUGAAACAGAUAGCUAAAAGAAACAAUACCUUGUUGUGGUUAAAAUCUAAAUGCCCCAGCCAAGCUCCUUUUAGGAGCUGUUACAACCCACCCUAGAAGAUAGAGAACUGCAGGGUUUGCAGCAUAAACUUUUUUUACAGAGAUUAUUUUUCUUUAUUCCCAUAAAUGCUAAAAAUUACGUGAUUGGCAUUGACCUUUGAUUCUGUCUUAAGACCAUGGAAGCCACUCUUUUUUUAAGACCUUUUCAGAGACAUAUGAAUGUGAAAGGUAAUUGAAUAUUUUUUUAACUUUAAAAAAGAUGAACACCAGGUUGACAGCUUCUCUACUUGGAUGUUCAUUUAAUCACCAUUUUCUGAUUACAGGAGGUGAACUAUGUUGACAGACUUGCAGAUGAAUAUGCAGCCCGGUAUAUGAAUACAUCUCCCAUCUGCGUGGCAAUGAAACGGCUUCAUAUAACUCAACAAAGGAGACAUUGAUUUAGUAAAGUGAGGAUGUAUCCAUCAGCACUGAGUUGCAGCUGUUCUUAAUGGAUUUGAAAAUAAAAGAGCUAUUUCACCUCUUAGAUUGGCAUAUUAUGAAAUGUUAGUAGUAGUUGCACAUAUCAAAGCACCAGCUACCACCCAAACAUUGUUGUGAAACAUGAAGGCAGCAUCAAGCCAGCCCCCUUGCGAAGCUCCCCAGUGCCAAUCGAAAGCCUAUUUCCCCAGUACGCUCCAAUUUUUCCCCCACAGGUAUUUGCCGUUACUUACUUCACUGCUUUUUUUUCUUUUUUUCCCCUUUCUUUUACAAAAGCAAUAUUUUUGCCCCUGAGACCACGAUCUGUUUCCCAACUGCUUUGUUUUCAAAAUAAACCAGAGAAAACCUGA